rnacentral:rRNA from 1 species
UACGUAGGUCCCGAGCGUUGUCCGGAUUUAUUGGGCGUAAAGCGAGCGCAGGUGGUUUAUUAAGUCUGGUGUAAAAGGCAGUGGCUCAACCAUUGUAUGCAUUGGAAACUGGUAGACUUGAGUGCAGGAGAGGAGAGUGGAAUUCCAUGUGUAGCGGUGAAAUGCGUAGAUAUAUGGAGGAACACCGGUGGCGAAAGCGGCUCUCUGGCCUGUAACUGACACUGAGGCUCGAAAGCGUGGGGAGCAAAAAGG